GAUGAACUCUGGCGGCGUGCCUAAUACAUGCAAGUCGAGCGAACAGACAAGGAGCUUGCUCCUUUGACGUUAGCGGCGGACGGGUGAGUAACACGUGGGUAACCUACCUAUAAGACUGGGAUAACUUCGGGAAACCGGAGCUAAUACCGGAUAAUAUUUCGAACCGCAUGGUUCGAUAGUGAAAGAUGGUUUUGCUAUCACUUAUAGAUGGACCCGCGCCGUAUUAGCUAGUUGGUAAGGUAACGGCCUACCAAGGCGACGAUACGUAGCCGACCUGAGAGGGUGAUCGGCCACACUGGAACUGAGACACGGUCCAGACUCCUACGGGAGGCAGCAGUAGGGAAUCUUCCGCAAUGGGCGAAAGCCUGACGGAGCAACGCCGCGUGAGUGAUGAAGGUCUUCGGAUCGUAAAACUCUGUUAUUAGGGAAGAACAUACGUGUAAGUAACUAUGCACGUCUUGACGGUACCUAAUCAGAAAGCCACGGCUAACUACGUGCCAGCAGCCGCGGUAAUACGUAGGUGGCAAGCGUUAUCCGGAAUUAUUGGGCGUAAAGCGCGCGUAGGCGGUUUUUUAAGUCUGAUGUGAAAGCCCACGGCUCAACCGUGGAGGGUCAUUGGAAACUGGAAAACUUGAGUGCAGAAGAGGAAAGUGGAAUUCCAUGUGUAGCGGUGAAAUGCGCAGAGAUAUGGAGGAACACCAGUGGCGAAGGCGACUUUCUGGUCUGUAACUGACGCUGAUGUGCGAAAGCGUGGGGAUCAAACAGGAUUAGAUACCCUGGUAGUCCACGCCGUAAACGAUGAGUGCUAAGUGUUAGGGGGUUUCCGCCCCUUAGUGCUGCAGCUAACGCAUUAAGCACUCCGCCUGGGGAGUACGACCGCAAGGUUGAAACUCAAAGGAAUUGACGGGGACCCGCACAAGCGGUGGAGCAUGUGGUUUAAUUCGAAGCAACGCGAAGAACCUUACCAAAUCUUGACAUCCUUUGACAACUCUAGAGAUAGAGCUUUCCCCUUCGGGGGACAAAGUGACAGGUGGUGCAUGGUUGUUGUCAGCUCGUGUCGUGAGAUGUUGGGUUAAGUCCCGCAACGAGCGCAACCCUUAAGCUUAGUUGCCAUCAUUAAGUUGGGCACUCUAAGUUGACUGCCGGUGACAAACCGGAGGAAGGUGGGGAUGACGUCAAAUCAUCAUGCCCCUUAUGAUUUGGGCUACACACGUGCUACAAUGGACAAUACAAAGGGCAGCGAAACCGCGAGGUCAAGCAAAUCCCAUAAAGUUGUUCUCAGUUCGGAUUGUAGUCUGCAACUCGACUACAUGAAGCUGGAAUCGCUAGUAAUCGUAGAUCAGCAUGCUACGGUGAAUACGUUCCCGGGUCU
rnacentral:rRNA from 1 species